GACGGAGGAUGCAAGCGUUAUCCGGAAUGAUUGGGCGUAAAGCGUCCGCAGGUGGCAGUUCAAGUCUGCUGUCAAAGACCGGGGCUUAACUUCGGAAAGGCAGUGGAAACUGAACAGCUAGAGUAUGGUAGGGGCAGAGGGAAUUCCUGGUGUAGCGGUGAAAUGCGUAGAGAUCAGGAAGAACAUCGGUGGCGAAGGCGGGUCUCUGGGCCGAAACUGACGCUGAGGAGCGAAAGCGUGGGGAGCGAACAGG
rnacentral:rRNA from 1 species